GGACAAUGGGCGCAAGCCUGAUCCAGCCAUGCCGCGUGGGUGAAGAAGGCCUUCGGGUUGUAAAGCCCUUUUGUUGGGAAAGAAAAGCAGUCGGCUAAUACCCGAUUGUUCUGACGGUACCCAAAGAAUAAGCACCGGCUAACUUCGUGCCAGCAGCCGCGGUAAUACGAAGGGUGCAAGCGUUACUCGGAAUUACUGGGCGUAAAGCGUGCGUAGGUGGUGGUUUAAGUCCGUUGUGAAAGCCCUGGGCUCAACCUGGGAAUUGCAGUGGAUACUGGGUCACUAGAGUGUGGUAGAGGGUAGCGGAAUUCCUGGUGUAGCAGUGAAAUGCGUAGAGAUCAGGAGGAACAUCCGUGGCGAAGGCGGCUACCUGGACCAACACUGACACUGAGGCACGAAAGCGUGGGGAGCAAACAGGAUUAGAUACCCUGGUAGUCCACGCCCUAAACGAUGCGAACUGGAUGUUGGGUGCAAUUUGGCACGCAGUAUCGAAGCUAACGCGUUAAGUUCGCCGCCUGGG
rnacentral:rRNA from 1 species